CCGUUAUGUAUUAAUUCUUUGCAUACUAUGUUGAAAGCAGCAGGAUUUAAAUGCAAGAUAAACACGCUCAUGGAUUUUUUGGACGAGCAAUGUAUUACAUUUUACAUCCAAGAUCCAAAACAAAA